ACCGCCAAAACCGAAAACACCUGCGGUCACAGUGGAACCUGGCUGACAGAUGUUGAGCCAGGCAGAGCAGGACAGCUUACCUCAUUUCAGAGGAGAGAAGCCCGGCAGAGCCCCCAGCUGAUGCCAGAGGAAGAUCCAGGUUUCCUGGAGUUUGUGAGUAUGUGAGUGUGUGCUCAGGCACUCUACCCAGCUGGGUGGUGACUAGUGUCUGGGGCUGCCUCUGGCUUUGUGUUGAUGUAGUGGUAACUUGUGUGUGUAUGUUUUGAUUCCCUCAAGUGUGGCCCCUAAGAGGCUGAGAAUUCAGCCUCAAGUUGAGAUGCUUGUGCUAAUAGGCUUCAGCCACCUAAGGGGAGGUGGAGUGGCUGAGAUGGUCUGCCACCUAGUGACGGGCCUUUAAAGUGGGAGGGAGGUAACUAAAGUUGACCCAGUGCUUAUAAUGCGUACACAUGUGGUCACACCUGAUCCUCAUAAUUACCCUCUAAUUAGGGAUUAUUGUCCCCAAUUUACUGAUGAGGAAACUGAGAUUCAGAGAAGAUCCACAACUUGCUCUGAGGCCACAUAACUAAUAAAUGGGGAUUUGAACCCAAGUCUGUCUGACUCCAUGCAUUUUCUGCCUCACAAGAGAGCCACUGGCUUAAAUAGGUCCUGGCGGUCCAUAGCCAGUGGGCACGGAGGCUAGCUGGCUAAUCAGGAUGGGUGGGGGAGGCCCUAGGCAUGGCUGGCCCUGGGCACAGGGAACUCAGCAGAAUGUGUAUGCUCAUAGAGUGUGGGUUGGGCUGGCUUGGGCUUAAAGUGAUGCUGCCCCUGUCUGUGGCCUCUGAACAUCCCUGUGCUAGACAUUGGUGCCGUGAGUUGGGAGAAUGAGGGAAACCCAGCAUCAGCACUCCAGGAAUUCAUAGACAUUAAACAGAUAAACACUCUGUGAUGUAGGGACAAUUUUGAUGGGGGCUACAGAGGAAAAGAACAGAGGGCCAUGAGAUAAAACUUUAAGGAGACCUCCUUCAGAUCUAGUAGACAAGGAAGACUUCUCCAGGACUCAGCAGAGGCCUAAAGGAUAUGAGAAAACCGAGGCAUGGAGAGAUUAAGAGACAUGCUCAUGGACACACAGCUAAGAGGUGGCAGAGAUGGGAUUCAAACCCAGGCAGCCUGGCUCCAGAGUCAAUGCUACCUUGCCUCCCAUAUAGGCCUUGCUGCCACCACCCAGGAUGCCCUUCACAAUCGCUCUUGACCAGCAUCUAGUUGCCCUGCACCUGCCCUCAGGAGACUUGCAGGAAGGUCCUUGCUGGGAAAGAUUUUCUGCACCCUUCUUCACUUCCUGGGCCUGCCUUUAUCUAAGGAUGUGGACUCUGGCUCCUCUUUGACCCACACCCACGGCAGCAGGACAGAUGCAGCCUCUUCCAGGCCCAGUCCAGCCCCAGCUCCUCGGGAGGGAGCCACCCUUGCUGAUCUGAGCAGCCAGACCACAUUCCACA